ACACCUCAACUCUUCAUGGUUUUCCAUGAUGAGCUUGGACUUUGGGGGACUUGCUGGCCUACAGUCAGCUCCUCUAAAAUAAAUCAGCUUGCCAGUGUUUGGUGGGUAUCGCAGGUGUGAUAACUAUCUACGCUAGUGGUUUUCCACCAAGUAACCUUCAGCGAUGGAGGUUCGCUGGAGCUCACAGAUGUCUCUCCUCAGUGAGGACAGCCCUUUGAAU
rnacentral:misc_RNA from 1 species